rnacentral:rRNA from 1 species
CCUACGGGAGGCAGCAGUGGGGAAUCUUGCGCAAUGGGCGAAAGCCUGACGCAGCAACGCCGCGUGCGGGAAGAAGGCUUUCGGGCUGUAAACCGCUUUCAGCAGGAACGAAAAUGACGGUACCUGCAGAAGAAGGAGCGGCCAACUAUGUGCCAGCAGCCGCGGUGAUACAUAGGCUUCAAGCGUUGUCCGGAUUUAUUGGGCGUAAAGAGUUCGUAGGCGGUCGAGUAAGUCGGGUGUGAAAAUUCUGGGCUCAACCCAGAGACGCCACCCGAUACUGCUUGACUUGAGUUCGAUAGGGGAGUGGGGAAUUCCUAGUGUAGCGGUGAAAUGCGCAGAUAUUAGGAGGAACACCGGUGGCGAAGGCGCCACUCUGGAUCGAUACUGACGCUGAGGAACGAAAGCAUGGGUAGCAAACAGGAUUAGAUACCCUGGUAGUCCAUGCCGUAAACGGUGGGCACUAGGUGUGGGUUUCUAUUAACGAAAUCCGCGCCGUCGCUAACGCAUUAAGUGCCCCGCCUGGGGAUACGGUCGCAAGACUAAAACUUAAAGAUAUAGCGNGNGAGAGCGACGACGACGACGACGGAGGAG